GACGAACGCUGGCGGCGUGCUUAACACAUGCAAGUCGAACGGAGUGGCGAACGGGUGAGUAACACGUGGGGAUCUGCCUUGCACUUCGGGAUAAGCUUGGGAAACGGACGCUAAUACCGCAUACUAUCAGAUGAGCCUAGGUCGGAAUAGCUAGUUGGUGAGGUAAUGGCUCACCAAGGCUACGAUCCGUAACUGGUCUGAGAGGAUGAACAGUCACACUGGAACUGAGACACGGUCCAGACUCCUACGGGAGGCAGCAGGGGGGAAUAUUGGACAAUGGGCGAAAGCCUGAUCCAGCCAUGCCGCGUGGGGGAUGAAGGCCUUCGGGUUGUAAACUCCUUUCGGCAGGGACGCGGUACCUGUAUAAGAAGCACCGGCUAACUACGUGCCAGCAGCCGCGGUAAUAC
rnacentral:rRNA from 1 species